UUGAACAUGAUGGAACAUAACUUUGGAUGUUAGCAGUAACAGUCUUUGGAAUCACCUGUAGCCAUGCCCCAAAACAUGAUAGCAUGUUGCAAAACCUCUAGUGCCCAUGGCCAUAAGGGAGAAAGAGCACCAGACCAUCUGAAUAACGUGAAAGUGGACACAGGAAACACCAGACACCCAGAGAAAUGGAGUCCAAAUCAUCCAUGUUAUAUGUUUGUCCUUGGGGGCUGAAGUAAGAAAAAUGAAAAGGAACUUUUCUUUACCCAUCUAUGGCACGUCACAUUCCCUCACUGAAUAUUUUGGACAUUAGAAAAGGAGAGGGAAAGAAGACUGGAGGAGAAAGGGGCAAGAUGAAAUGAUCUGCCACAUCUGAGGAGGGGACCAAAGGUAACUUCUUGCUGUCUUCGAGGCACCAUUUAACCUUUUGCAAAAUAUAAUAUGAUGCCAUCU